rnacentral:rRNA from 1 species
UGAACGCUGGCGGCAUGCUUUCCACAUGCACGUCGAACGGUAACAGGCCGCAAGGUGCUGACGAGUGGCGAACGGGUGAGUAAUGCAUCGGAACGUGCCCAGUCGUGGGGGAUAACUACUCGAAAGAGUAGCUAAUACCGCAUACGAUCUAUGGAUGAAAGCGGGGGACCGUAAGGCCUCGCGCGAUUGGAGCGGCCGAUGUCAGAUUAGGUAGUUGGUGGGGUAAAGGCUCACCAAGCCAACGAUCUGUAGCUGGUCUGAGAGGACGACCAGCCACACUGGGACUGAGACACGGCCCAGACUCCUACGGGAGGCAGCAGUGGGGAAUUUUGGACAAUGGGCGCAAGCCUGAUCCAGCAAUGCCGCGUGCAGGAAGAAGGCCUUCGGGUUGUAAACUGCUUUUGUACGGAACGAAACGGCUCUGGUUAAUACCCGGGGCUAAUGACGGUACCGUAAGAAUAAGCACCGGCUAACUACGUG